UAUAUAUAUAUAUAUAAAUAAUUGGUCCAGUGGCUAAGAAAAAUAUUUGUGAGGUAGAGAUAUUUACAGAGGAAGCCAAAUAAAUAAAAGGAGGUUGAAGGAAGAGGAGGGCGUUUAGAUAGUUUAUCAGUUGCUAAGAAAAAUAUUACAGCGUUACAGAAAUUUGAAGAAGAAAAAAGCCGUAUGAAUAAAAGUAGGUUGUAUAUAGUUUAUCCAGUUGCUAAAAAAAAUAUUUCAGCGGUAGAGAAAUUUACGGAAGAAGCCUAAUGAAUAAAGGAAGGUUGAAAGAAGAGAAUAGCGUUUUAGAUAGUAUAAUAAAUAAAAGGAGGUUGUAUAUAGUUAAUCAGUUGCUAAGAAAAAUAUUGAAGCGCUAGAGAAAUUUACAGAAGAAAAAGCGUAAUAAAUAAAAUGAGGUUGAAGGAAGAGUAUAGUUUAUCCAGUUGCUAAAAAAAAUAUUUCAGCGGUAGAGAACUUUACGGAAGAAGCCUAAUGAAUAAAGGGACGUUGUAAGAAGAGAAUAGCGUUUUAGAUAGUAUAAUAAAUAAAAGGAGGUUAUAUAUAGUUAAUCAGUUGCUAAGAAAAAUAUUGCAGCGCUAGAGAAUUUUACAGAAGAAAAAGCCUAAUAAAUAAAAUGAGGUUGAAGGAAGAGGA